UUAUGAAAUGAUUGGGUUUUUUUCCACAAGCUGAAGUAACCCUCUCCCAUGAAGUCCAUGACACUUUUCCAUAAAAAAGGAGAUUUUUCUUCGUAAAUUGUUAUCUGGUGUUACUGCCGGACGCAUUCGGUUUCACGGAAAGAAAUGGCUGUGUCAGACUGUCGUGUUAGAUGAUAAAUAGAAAGAACGCACGCAUAUGUAACCAUCCACGUUAUAACUUUUGAUUUAAUGGAUUUUACAAAACAGUAUGGUCUUGGUCUCUUGGAUGACC
rnacentral:lncRNA from 1 species